UGGGAGGAAGAGCCUAGCUCUCCGGGGAGAAAUUUAAUCGGCCUUUCUCACUGCAUCUGGCACAGACCGUGGGAGGCGCUCGUGUGAGACUUCUCCCUGCCCUUUGUGAGGGAACUGCCUCUGGCGACCCUAUGUGUCUGGCCCCUUCCCCCCUCGCCUGCUCUCCAAUCCCCCUCGUCUCCACCUGGCUGCAGAUACUCAAACCGAGGGCUGUGGGAAUCCCACAGAAGCACCUCCAGCAGGCCGCUCCCGGGAGCGGGCUCCACCUCGGGCCUCCCUGCCAGACGGCCGAGCCUGCGUGUUGGCACUUGUGCGCUCCUGCGCUCCUCCUCGCGAGUUUCGCCCAGGAUUUGGCUGGGUCCCCCUGCGGCCCAGCACCCCGCGCACAGAGGCCGUGCACGUGCCUGCCUGGUAGCUCCAGCUCCAGCUCUAGCACAGAAGAUCCGCCUUUUUAUUAUUGUUAUUUAUUUGAUUAUUUAUUUUCCUGCAAACAGCGUGCUCUCGCAUUGGGCAAUGCUGAGAAGCUCAGGUCCUAUCCCCAGAUUCUGGGUGGUGGCCUACCCCCACCGUCCUUGACUUGGCCCAAACCCCGAAUUCAACAUGGAGCUAGAGCCGGCCCACCGGGUGUAUUUCAUCCACUCUGCUACCGCAUGCCAGAUCUUGAUCUAUGUGAACUUUGACUUAAAAUGAGCAGACCCCUAAAGAACUUAUAAAUUAUAGUGGAGAAACUUGACAAGAGAAUCCCCGAGCUUCACAGCAACCAUCACAAAGGUGGAAUCACCAUAAGCGCCUGGUAGACAAGUCUCCCUUCCCAAAUGCUAUAAGGAAAUCUUAAAGCCAGUUCAGACUCAAAUACCUGUGUGACAUGACCUUCAACAGGUCAAGAGGUAGAUAUUAGAGGAGUCCCAGGAAAAAUGAAACCCUCUACUCUACUGAAAUAAAACUGUCCAGAAGAGACCUGUAGAAGUACUCUUAAAAAAAUAAAAAAUAAAAAGACCAAUGGAACCAACAUAUAUGACAGCUGGAACCACUGGAGAAAGGUCCUCAUACUGGAAGCUAGAAGCACAGAAAGUAGUGUGAAAAGAAGUUUGAUAUUCCUUGAAAGCUGUGGAAACAAGUGUGGAUGUAACAGAGUUGUUAUAUCCUGCACAGUAGCACAGUUUAAAGAACAAAGAGAGAGUAGUCAUGGAUAAGGAAGCUGGAAAACAUGAACUAUAAACCUACAUAUUGAAGAUUUGUGCCAAAUGAAAAGCUCUGUACUUCUUAUAAAGAAAAUUUUUGCCAAGCACUUGCUAAAAUCCUAUUGAAAAGUCAUAAGUAAAUCGGGAAAGUCUGUGAUUGGAUGCCCAGUGUUUCUAUGUGCAUUGCCAAGGAAUCACUGCUCACCACGCAGAGAUGGGAGAGGAAAUUUACUUCAGUGUACACCAAUAUCCUGCCAUUCAGGCUGUAGCUUCAAAACCAUGAUUACAAAGCAUUAAUUCCCAUAAAUGUUCUGCAAACAGUGGACCAGACAGGGGAGGGAUUUUAUAAUUUGUAGGUUCUUGUGGAAAAAGAAAUGUUGGUGUCUCAUUCCCUAAAACCUGGAAAUAUAGAUUACAUAUUUCUAUCUAGAGUUAGUUCAUAUUCAUUUUUAAAUGAAAUUGUUUAUCUAGAAAAAUAGUAAUUUAAGCUUUUGAGCAGAAUUAUGACUUACUCUAAAACUUGUGCUCUGAAUAAUUGUAUUCUAAUGAUUUCCUUAUGUCACUCAUGACGAAAUGUAUCUUCCUUGACAUCAGAAAGCAAGUUUAAAAUUUCAUUUUUAAGAUAAAUUUAUCCAAAAUACCAAUCUUGUGUCUUUGGAACAAAAUUAAUAUUUCUUUGCAAAAAAGCUUUUUACAUGUUCUUCCACCCUCUCAUAUUAUUUAUACAGUCACAACUGCAGCCACUACCUUUGAUUUCAUCUGAGCAAGGGCCCACAAACACAAGGUGCAGCUGCUGCAGCCUUCUCAUGUCAGGCACUGUAAAUCUAAAAGAUUGUGCUCUGCUCUUUGAGGCCACUCUCACACUUCUAUUUCUCAUCAUCGUGCUCCAGGCAAACAUUUCCAGUCAUCUGAGUUUGCACUAAAAAAAAAGAAAAAGAAAAAGAAAGAAAACAUAUUGCCAUUGAUGAUCCAUCUCAUCCUGUUGCCUAUUACCAGGCAGUGAAACAUUAUUUUCAUAAUUUCACUAUCCUGAUAAAAAUUAGCCAGCAGCUCAAUAUUGCCUGUUAAGUCUCUUAGUUCCUUCAAGACCUACCACAAAAUUUCUUCCCAAUUUUUUCUUCCUCUCUCUUUACUCUUCUGCUUGGGCUUUUACCUUCCCUACUCUGAAUUUCCCAUUCUCUGACCACUUAUGUGUUUGCUUUCAUGUAAGAAUCAUGAUUUGUGGGGCUGGGGAUUUAGCUCAGUGGCAUAAGCACCUGCCUUGCAAGCAGGCAGUCCUGAGUUCGAUCACUGGUACCGAUAAAAAUGAAAAAGACAAAAAAAAAAAAAUCAUGCUUUGCUUCUCCACAGUGAUGAUAUCACACCAAUCAUUGUAAGUCUGCCUCACAAUUAAUUUCUUUUUCCAAGUUGUCAGUUUAGAGGCAUUUCUGUAAUCUGAUGAGAGUAAUAGUGUUAGUUGAUUCAUCAGUCCACUAAACAAAAAGAAUGACUAGAGAAAAAAUCAUAACAUAUCUAUAUCAUAAAUAUUCCAGUUCAAACUAUAAAAUAUGUAGUUACAUUAAACUUUUUAUUUUAUUUUAAAGAGGAUGAAACAGAAUAAAGCCAAUCAAAACAAACCAGAGUAAGAAAUACAGGAAUUCAAAACCUUACAAAAUCAACAAUAGUUACCGUAAUGUCUUUUGAUGUCUUCAAAAUAGCUGCAGACAACUUUGGGCAUAGAAAAAAUCAAACAGAAUAGAAUAGAACAGGAACAAUAAAAACUAAACAAUGAAUAUAAUAAACAAUUUCAAAACAAGCCAAUAGUAAGUCCAAAAUUGCUACCAUAAUAUGUCUUUCUAUCUUUGAAAUAGUUGCUCCUGCCAUUGGAUUUCACAUAAUCAAACAAAACAAAAGAGAAUAAAACCCAUCCCAACAAAACAAUGAAAAUGAUAUAAGGACCUCAAAACAAGACCAUAGGGAACCAGCAAUGGCUGUAACCUGCAGAAGGAGAUUCCCCUAGAUGACACACUGCAUACCACUAUUCUCUGAACCUAUGAUCAGACCACUGGCCUUAGAUCUGCAAUGAUACUGUAACACCAAAGCACCACAGGCAUCCAAUUUCAUUUUACAUCAGUAGCCAUCAUAACAGCCUGUGUUUCUCUGAAUAAGCUGGUCUCUUACACAAGGUCAGGGAAGGGGUUGAUUGGUACUUCUGAUUGCCAGCACUUGUGCUGGAAGGGGCUGGGUUCUGGCUGUUCCCACCUGGUGGAGGCCCACACAGGGCACUGAUUCCCAGGCUGGGCUUGCUUGCUAGUGUGACCUUGUUCUCUCUCUCUCUCUCUCUCUCUCUCUCUCUCUCUCUCUCUCUGUCUCAUCCACGAAUGGCACUGACUCAUGGGGAAAGGCAUGGGUCUGACAGUUCCCCAUCUGAUGGCAGGUUUCACAUGGCACUGGUUCCCAGAUUGGGCUUGCUUGCUUAUUAAGCUUUUCAUAUAGGAACCUUUUCUGUAAUUAAGAGCCUGCUCCUAAGAAUUCCAUAGCAUCUUUUUUAUACAGAACAUAUCCAUGGUACAUCCCCCACAACUUUCAUCUUGGUUUAUUUAAAGUAAAGCAAGAACAUUCCAAGUAUUUUGAGUACAAAAAUUCUAAGUUUCUGUACUGUUUCCGGUUAAUCUUUGACAUUUUCUGGCAAUACUUAAGUUAAUUAGUCAGUAUUGUUAUUAAUUCAUGUUUACAAGUCUUUACAAAACAAUCUAACUUCCAUUUAGCCCCUUCUCCAAUAUUUGCUUUAUGUCCCACAUACUUUAUUAACAUACUUUAUAUUAUUUUAAUGACAAGUACUAGUGAUAGUUUGAUAGAAACACACGUGGACAGCAUACUACUUAACUGGCCCAAACAAAGGCUCAGAUGUCCUAGAGGGUGACCCCCUACCCAGGCGUAGUUUAGUAGGCUAUGACAAAAGGCAAUGUAUUUUACAGAGUGAAACAGAAAUGACAUUAUCCCAAAGGACUGGUUAAGUAGAUGGUAAAGAGAGAGUCUUCUUAUUUAUAUUUGUAGUUUAACUCGUUACUUGGCUCUGAUGAUAUGCUGCUUUUUUGGGGAUAAUUAUCUUCCUGUGUAAACUGUUUUCAUUGGCUUCACAGUGCAAGAACAUUGUUUAAGAUUCCUGUAGCAGCUUCUUCAUAGCAAAAUGCAAUAAAAUUAUGCUGAAAAAAUAUGAGUAUUUAAUAAAUUAUUGUUACUGAUUAAAUUCAUAUGGGAAGGUGAAGUGAAAAUACUUUAGAAAUCCAUGAAGGGGAAACACUGAAGUUUAUGACAUCAAACAAUACACUAUAAUUUGGAUUGAGACACAUAAUCAGAAUGCAAGAACAUUUAGGAAACUAACCAUAGGGUUCUUGCACUAAUUUUUUUGAUACCUUGUGGACAUGAUGCAGUGUCUAAGGCAUAAAACUGUUAAGGGGGGGAGUAAUUGUUCAUAAAUAUGAUGUUUUCUUCUUUGCUAGAAUGAGGAUUGAAGAAAUGAAAUAACACUCUAGAAAUUUAAAAUUUUUUAAUUUUUUUAUCCCACUGUCUAGACAUUGACAAAUCACUCUAUGUUUCUUAGCUUGACAAAAGAGAAAAGAGAAAGACUGGGAGGUUUGUCCCAGGUCACAGAGCAAGUGGUCUAAACAUAGCCAACCAACCACAGGGUAGCCAAAAUGUUCUUAGUCAAAAGACUUAAUAGCUUUUUACCAAAAAUAACUAUUUCAGUCAAAGACAGAGGGAUAAUUGCUAGUUCCAUGGACAACAUAAGAAACCACAUCAUUUCAGCCCAGAGAGCAGCAUUAAAUGCGCACCCACAUGUCCUUCGUGUAUUUAUGUCCUCCAGCUGUGAGACCUUCUUCUUUUUGGCUUCUCUUUGACCCAGAAAAAUGAUCUGAUGAAUGUAUAAAUUCUAGAACAGUUGGAAAGGCAUAGUACAUAAAAAGUGCCACUAUACUAGAUAAGCAAAUAUUUAAUCCUUGGAUGACCCUCCCUUGCUGACCACAUCCUUGCUCAGUCAAGGACCCAGCCAAUGCUUUGCAGAGACUGAGGUGAUUCUGCAUCUGCCAAGACACAGAGAAAUGUGUAGUAAAGGAAAAUUUAGCCUGGCCUCAGUUUCAGCAACAGGCAACCAUUUGCUGGGACUAACAACACUUUCUUUUUCUGUCUGUGCAAUGAGCUAUUGGAAGUUCCUGGGUUAGUCUUUGUUAACUGCAUAUGUGGUUGUGAUAGAGGCCUUGACUGAAGUGGCUGCUCUUGUAGGAGCUUGAGAUUUAUUAGUUAAAGAAGUGUUUGUUUAAAAUAGAAGCCAAAAACUGGUAGCUCCGAGUGCCGUUCAACCUUUAGUAUAUUCCUGUGGCCCACGAACAUGGCUAUUUAUUCAUUUUUAGAAAGUACACAUGGAUUUAGAUGAGCAGCAAUCAAUUUCUGUAGUGUACAUAUGUUCAAUGUUUGUUUGUUUUUCUGUGGUGUACAUAUUUUGAAAACAUCUAGUUUCAAGCCACCAACAUGACAUUUACAAACAUGGACUUUGGAAGUGGUUGAUAGCAGUGCCUCAUUACAUAGGUUUCCUACCUCAUAGUUAUGGUGAAUUCAAGUAAACCCAAAUGCAUAUAAUGGAAAAUGUAGUGGAACAAGUAUAAGAUGAUGAAUUCUGAGUGUUCCUCAUAUUUGUUUUAAAAAUUAAUUAUAAGUUUUUAAUGUGUAGUUUAAUAAAGGCUGUUUAAAAUCUGAAUCUCAAAAAUUCCACAAAACUUAAUACAUAGCUGCUGUGAAUCAGUAUGAACCAGAAGCAAGCAUAUCAUGACAAUAACAGCGGUGACCCAUCGUGGCUCAGGUUUGAGAGGUUGUUUUUAAAUCCCAGCUCUUCCACUUAACUAGCUGUGUGAUCUUAUCCAGACUACUGAGCUACAUAUAACCUCCAUUUUCUAAAAAGGAAACUAAAAUUCAUGCUUUUUUGUGGGUUGACAGCAAUGAAUAAAUAAAACAGACUAACAGAAGAGUUAGCAUGAGAACUGGCACAUAGUAAUUACUCAGUAAAUAGGGACAAUUAUUUAUUUUAACUUUACAUGGGAAUUACUUCAUUAGAUUUAUUUUGGUGCUACCUUGAAAGUCUGCCAAAACCACCCCAAAGAAAUGAGGAUUUUCAUAAAACAGGAAAGAAACUAGAGAGACCAGAGAAGCCUGAGUUGAAAGCAAAAUUAAGGUACUGAAAAAGAGAAAGAAAAAAUGGUAUCAAAACAUACAGUAUUAGAAAGUAAAAGACGUUGGAAGUUUUCCUAAGGCAAACUAUAGUUUAAAGAUUCAUUCUGAGUGCCUCCCAAAAACUGUAUAAUCUCUGCAUAAAUGAUCAGAAUCAUUUGGGCUGCAGCAAGCAUCAAACAGUGUCAUCCAAUAUCUGGUCUAGCUAAUGGGAUUGAUCUCAGACUUGUGAUCUACACUUGAUCAUUUCUGAUGCUCUUAACCUGAAGCCUGGAUUUCAUACUCAGGGUCAGAUGCUGCCAGGUUACUCCAGGAGCACCUAACGAAAGGAACCAAAGUUGAAGAGAUGGACAAGAUGAAUUUCCAACAUAUAAAAAUGGACAUGCAGAAAGCAGAGGGGCAGGAGGGAAAGAGAGAGAGCGAAGAUAAACGAUGACUUCUCACUUCUGGGAAAGUCUGGUUUACCUUGUAAUGGUUCCUGUGACAUAUGACGUUUUCUUUACAAUAAUUUUUUUUUCUCAAAUCCAGUUUGAAUAGGUAUCCAUUCCUUACAAACCAAAGGAUUCCAAGCCAGAUAAUCUCUGCCAGAUCUAAAUGUCUAUUAAAAUAUAUAAAAUCACAGUAUUUGUGAAAUAACAUAAGCUGGAAGAGAGGAGA